UGCGGCGGCUGCUGUUUUUUCUACUUAGGGUUUCUUGCUUUUCUUUUGUUUUGGGCUAGAGUUAGUGAUUUGGGUUUAGUUGGGCUGUUUGGGGUUUAUAGUUUGGGCCUGAUAUUGGGUUUUUGAUUGGGCUGCUAUUUUAUUUAUUAUUUGGACUUUUAUUUUUUGGGGGAUUUUUAUUUAGUUUAUUUUUGGAUUAGGCCUAAGCCAAAAUUAGCCUAUUACAAAUGGUAUUGGUUUGAUACUGAACACCAUGCUCCGAAAUUCGUAAAUGCUUC
rnacentral:lncRNA from 1 species